AAAAUUGAUCGUUCAAAAGUGAGGCAACUCCGUGGCUCAUGGUCGUGGCUGUGUUGUUCUCGUGUGUGGCUCUGUGCUUAAAGCUACGAUAACGACAUGCCAAAGCCAAACAAUAGUAGCAACUCCGGAUAGCAGCAACAAAAAGGAUUGAUUGUGCAUUGUGGAGUGGAUGGACUUGAAACUUGAAAGCUUUUGAUAAUGAUGAAAGCUUUGUAACAAUGGCAGUGGAGGCUUUGGCAAUGGCAAUGGUAAUAGAAGAGUGGCUUUGGAUUUUUGAAGGGUUUGGUAGUGGCAACAUGAGAAUGGUAGUGGCUGUUGGAAUGGUAGUGACAAUGGCACUUUGGAAUUCUAAUUUGUUAUUUUGAUAUUUGCAUUUUGUGUUUCCAUUUCUGAUUCUUUUUUUUGGCCGUGGCAAUGGCAGACUAGCAGUGGCAUUGCAUUUCUUAAUUUUCAAUUUUCCCUUUGAUAUAUGUUGAAUUCUUGAUCAAUUUGUAUUUGUAUUAUUAAACAUUACAUUAGUAUUUUAAAUUUGUAUCUGUAUUGUAACUUGUAAGCCUGUAAUAUUUUGUUAAAUGCUUAUAUUUGAUUAUUUAUAAUUUAUUAUACUUGAGAGA